rnacentral:rRNA from 1 species
UACGGAGGGUGCAAGCGUUGCUCGGAAUUACUGGGCGUAAAGCGCACGUAGGCGGCUCUUUAAGUCGGGGGUGAAAUCCUGGAGCUCAACUCCAGAACUGCCUUCGAUACUGGAGAGCUCGAGUCCGGGAGAGGUGAGUGGAACUGCGAGUGUAGAGGUGAAAUUCGUAGAUAUUCGCAAGAACACCAGUGGCGAAGGCGGCUCACUGGCCCGGUACUGACGCUGAGGUGCGAAAGCGUGGGGAGCAAACAGG